UACGUAGGGUCCGAGCGUUGUCCGGAAUUACUGGGCGUAAAGAGCUCGUAGGUGGUUUGUCGCGUUGUUCGUGAAAACUCACAGCUCAACUGUGGGCGUGCGGGCGAUACGGGCAGACUGGAGUACUGCAGGGGAGACUGGAAUUCCUGGUGUAGCGGUGGAAUGCGCAGAUAUCAGGAGGAACACCGGUGGCGAAGGCGGGUCUCUGGGCCACUACUGACGCUGAGAAGCGAAAGCAUGGGGAGCGAACAGG
rnacentral:rRNA from 1 species